rnacentral:rRNA from 1 species
UACAGAGGGUGCAAGCGUUAAUCGGAAUUACUGGGCGUAAAGCGUGCGUAGACGGUUAUGUAAGUCGGAUGUGAAAGCCCCGGGCUCAACCUGGGAAUUGCAUUCGAAACUGCAUGGCUAGGGUGCGGAAGAGGGAAGCGGAAUUUCUGGUGUAGCGGUGAAAUGCGUAGAUAUCAGAAGGAACAUCAGUGGCGAAAGCGGCUUCCUGGUCCAGCACCGACGUUCAGGCACGAAAGCGUGGGGAGCAAACAGG